rnacentral:rRNA from 1 species
GAUGAACGCUGGCGGCGUGCCUAAUACAUGCAAGUCGAGCGAACAGACGAGGAGCUUGCUCCUCUGACGUUAGCGGCUGACGGGUGAGUAACACGUGGAUAACCUACCUAUAAGACUGGGAUAACUUCGGGAAACCGGAGCUAAUACCGGAUAAUAUAUUGAACCGCAUGGUUCCAUAGUGAAAGACGGUUUUGCUGUCACUUAUAGAUGGAUCCGCGCCGCAUUAGCUAGUUGGUAAGGUAACGGCUUACCAAGGCAACGAUGCGUAGCCGACCUGAGAGGGUGAUCGGCCACACUGGAACUGAGACACGGUCCAGACUCCUACGGGAGGCAGCAGUAGGGAAUCUUCCGCAAUGGGCGAAAGCCUGACGGAGCAACGCCGCGUGAGUGAUGAAGGUCUUCGGAUCGUAAAACUCUGUUAUUAGGGAAGAACAAAUGUGUAAGUAACUAUGCACGUCUUGACGGUACCUAAUCAGAAAGCCACGGCUAACUACGUG